rnacentral:rRNA from 1 species
UACGAAGGGGGCUAGCGUUGUUCGGAUUUACUGGGCGUAAAGCGCACGUAGGCGGGUUGUUUAAGUCAGGGGUGAAAUCCUGGAGCUCAACUCCAGAACUGCCUUUGAUACUGAAGAUCUUGAGUUCGGGAGAGGUGAGUGGAACUGCGAGUGUAGAGGUGAAAUUCGUAGAUAUUCGCAAGAACACCAGUGGCGAAGGCGGCUCACUGGCCCGAUACUGACGCUGAGGUGCG